AUUUCGAUCGGUCGUGCCGCAACUGCAAAAACGAUUUUCUUUCCUUGCGAUGUUGAUUUUGUUUACUCGGAAGAUUUUUUGGAAUUUUAUUUUAAGUUUCGAUUUUUCGCAAAGAAAUGACAACGACGAGCGCCGAUUGGGUAGCGGCUUGUUCAAGUAGUGUGAUCGUGACACGCGUUACAUAACAAUCGAAACGUGUGAUAUUAACCUUUGACGCGAGCAAUUUUAACAAAAUCAAUGCAGCUCGCAGGACGUUGAUGGAUUCUUCUCGUGUCAAAACUGUCGGAACUCUGGUCAAGCGGAAUUUGAUCAGUGUGCUACUGCCUUCAUUUGUCAUAUUUACAAUCUACGCCGAUUUGAGACACACUGCUCAUUGGAAGCAGCAACAACUCGCCAAACAACAAAAACAAUAAGAUCGCGACAGCGAUGGGUGCUCUGUCACAUAGACACAUUUGGCCCAAGUACUUGAUGCUCAUUUUCCCCUUCACAGGAUUUAUGAUUGGAUAUAAAUUAGAGAAGGCGGAAGCAUUGAGGCUGACAAAGUUUAGAGAUAAAUCGGCACUGUAUGGCAGAGAAUUAAAACCAGGAGAGCCACCUUCUUGGCCAUAUUAAUUUCAUGAUCUUAGUUUGGAUAAAGUAUGGUAAUCCUCAAACAUUGUGGAAUUAGUCUCAUCGCAAAGUAGUACAUGAUAAAAAUGUAGAAAAAUGAAAUAAUUGAUGAGAGUUGCAAUAAAUAGGCUACAAGCACAGAAUUAAAAUGAAUUUAAAUUCAUUAAAUUAUGUUUAUUAAAUUUAAGGUGAGAUUAUUAGAAUUCUUAGAACUUCAAGUUGGAGUUAUUAGCCUCCAUAAAUUCUUUUAAUUGCAAAUUUAACAAAAUACUAAUAUUUAGAUUGUCAAAUAUUGGUUUUAAAUAUUUUAACAAUAAUGUAAACAUGUUAACGAAAUAUAUUCUUGAAUAUUUUUUU